CUACGUGCCAGCAGCCGCGGUAAUACGGAAGGUCCGGGCGUUAUCCGGAUUUAUUGGGUUUAAAGGGAGCGUAGGCCGGAGAUUAAGUGUGUUGUGAAAUGUAGACGCUCAACGUCUGACUUGCAGCGCAUACUGGUUUCCUUGAGUACGCACAACGUUGGCGGAAUUCGUCGUGUAGCGGUGAAAUGCUUAGAUAUGACGAAGAACUCCGAUUGCGAAGGCAGCUGACGGGAGCGCAACUGACGCUUAAGCUCGAGGGUGCGGGUAUCGAACAGGAUUAGAUACCCUGGUAGUCCGCACAGUAAACGAUGGAUGCCCGCUGUUGGUACCUGGUAUCAGCGGCUAAGCGAAAGCAUUAAGCAUCCCACCUGGGGAGUACGCCGGCAACGGUGAAACUCAAAGGAAUUGACGGGGGCCCGCACAAGCGGAGGAACAUGUGGUUUAAUUCGAUGAUACGCGAGGAACCUUACCCGGGCUUGAAUUGCAGAGGAAGGAUUUAGAGAUA
rnacentral:rRNA from 1 species